rnacentral:rRNA from 1 species
CCUACGGGUGGCAGCAGUGAGGAAUCUUGGUCAAUGGGCGCGAGCCUGAACCAGCCAAGUCGCGUGAGGGAAGACGGUCCUCUGGUUUGUAAACCUCUUUUGUCGGGGAGCAAAUGCAGGCACGUGUGGCGUUCCGAGUGUACCCUAAGCAAAAGCAUCGGCUCACUCCGUUCCAGCAGCCGCGCUAAUACGGGGGAUGGGAGAGUUAUCCGGUGUUAGUGGGUUUAAAGGGUGGGCAGGCGGAGGAUCAAGUCAGCGGUAAAAUUGAGAGGCUCAACCUCUUCGCGCCGUUGAAACUGGUGUACUUGAGUGAGCGAGAGGUAUGCGGAAUGCGUGGUGUAGCGGUGAAAUGCAUAGAUAUCACGCAGAACUCCGAGGGCGAAGGCAGCAUACCGGCGCUCAACUGACGCUCAUGCACGAAAGUGUGGGUAUCGAACAGGAUUAGAUACCCGGGUAGUC